rnacentral:lncRNA from 1 species
AGAUAAGAAAAGAGGAAGGCGGAAAUCAUCAUUUAGGUUGAAGUGGCUUUUAGGUGGAGACUCCCCUAGAAACGGUUUUCAAGGGAAACUGGUCAAGUUGAAAUUAAUUAGCCAGGGCUCUGUGUUGCUUCUUUCUGUUUCUAGCAGGUGGCAGCCCUAAAAAUAACCCAACUUGACCUCGCACAGGAAGUGGAGGCAGAUAAAUGCAAAGGAGGACUCCAGGUUCCCAGAAGCUCAAGUCUGCAGCUGCAAAAUAACCCCAAACAGCAACGCUUCCUCGGUGGCUCCACUCCAUUUCCCCUCCAGCCCAGCCAAAACGAGAAGCAAGGGACUCGUUUCCAGCCGUCAGCUUCCCCCAAAAGAUCUGAGAGUCUGUCAAACCAUCUGGAUUUGUGUCAAAAGGAUCUUAACCUUAUUGGCACUUCACAGACAUCUGGAAAUGCCGGAAGCAGAACAGAGAAGCCACGCGGUGGACAGAAUGGUCUGAUCCGGUAUUAUCUCACAAUCACCUUUCUCUCCAAAACAGAAUGGAUUUGUUUGAUAAAUUGUACAACUGUGUUCAAGAGCAGGACUUUUAAGGUCUCGGUCUCUGUUUCUAUUUAUAAAAAGUGGCUACAGUCGUUUUGAAACCACAGCGUUUCUCCGGAGACCAGCUGGGGAAUCCAGGAUUUGUCAAACCAAAUGAAACAGAAAUCUGGAUGCAGCUGUAACUUCUGGCACGCCCAACCUCACCUGCAAUGACUUUCCUGUCUCCUUUCUUGCCCAUCAUGAAAAACAUGCAGGAGGAAGAGGUUGUAUCUGAGCAUCAUGAUAAACGACAGUGUUUUGUGGUAUGAAUGAGACUAGGAACAUUUUUAGUUCCCGCUGUCCCCUACAGCAACGAAUUCAGACACUUCUGCUUCCAAUUGUGACUAAAGACAACUCUUUCUUUUGCUAGAGUAUGACAAACGGUAAAUAAUCUUAACUAUGGUUUGUUGGAAACUAGCCAGUUUUAAACCAUGCACUGUGAAGCUGAUUCAUUCCCACAAACUAUGGUUACAAGUAACCAUGAUUUGGGUUUCAGGUAGAGCAUUAAAUAGAAAUUAAUCAAAAAAUGGAUGGACCUUUUUUAUCUAGAAUGGAUGUGUGCACAGGGCAUGGAAGUAGUGAAAUACAAGUAAGUUGGUACUCAAUUAUUUAUUUAAAAUAUUUUCACCCCACUUUUCUCCUUAAAAGGACCCAAGGUGGCUUACAUCUUUGAAAGUCAAUACUUAAAGCUGAAAAUAAUGAGUAUACAAAGGUGGUUUGCAUGAUUAAAGGACAAGAUUUAAAGCCAAGAACAAUGAGCCUGAAGAGGCAGCUUACCUCAUUAAAAGACAAUAUCAAAGCUAAAACAAUAAAUAUGCAAAUAUUAAAGAGGAACA